AACGAACGCUGGCGGCAGGCCUAACACAUGCAAGUCGAGCGCAGUCCUUCGGGACCGAGCGGCGGACGGGUUAGUAACGCGUGGGAAUAUACCCAGUACUAAGGAAUAGCCUCUGGAAACGGAGAGUAAUACCUUAUACGCCCUUCGGGGGAAAGGUUUAUCGGUAUUGGAUUAGCCCGCGUUAGAUUAGAUAGUUGGUGGGGUAACGGCCUACCAAGUCGACGAUCUAUAGCUGGUUUGAGAGGAUGAUCAGCAACACUGGGACUGAGACACGGCCCAG
rnacentral:rRNA from 1 species